CUCUGUUAUUCCCUCUGAUAGCAGAUGAGCUUUCAAGUCAAUAGGCUUAGUUGGUUCACAUGUCCUUUUUCAAACCAUGCCAACUACAGCAGUGUAAUUAUCCAAGUGCUUUAUGUAAUUACCUAAUUUUAUUUGAUUAGCAUUUCACUUCCUUUUACUUAGAUUCAGUUAAUUGUCUGGGAUGGAUUAAGGAUCUAAUAAUCCUGUGAACACACUUUUAGGGGAGUUGACUAUCAAUCUCGCUCUCUCAGUUAAGCUUCUCUCAUUGUUUCCUGCAAUUUAUAAGUUUUAAAAUAUAAGACGAUACUGUCAGGUAUUAUCCUCAUGGUUUUGUUCCUUCUAAUCUCUUCAUUCUCUUUUUGGACUGAAGGAUAUGAAUCCAUAAUUUGGGGAAAGGAUUUUAAUGAUUCCAAGGAAUGGACCUUGGAAAGUGAUUAUUACUCAACCUGAUAAAAUUGUUCUUAACAUCAUCCCAAAACAGACAAAAAGACCAGAAACUUGGAUGGAAGUGGGGUCAUCAGAGCUUAAGUCUGAAAGUUCUAUGAUCCGCCCUGCUGCAGACUAGUUCCUGAGGAUGAGCUCUCUCUCUCCCUUUCACCCAGCAGGUGAGUGUGAGCUUCUCAGGGAGGAUGUGAUAAGCCCAAUGCUGUGUGCAUUCUGGCCCCAAAGCAGUAGGUUAUGAUUGGCUCUGUGUGUGGACUGCAGGCAGCUAUAUUUAAAAGUAGAUUAUUGGAAACAUUUGGACCCAAAAAAUUGUGUCCAGGGCCUGGAAGAUGGUGUUAUAAAGUCAAGGAGCUAUCAUCCCAAAGUGCUCAUGGCCAGAACAAGGGAAAUCCAUAGCCAUGAAUUUAGAGAAGGCACGCAAUAUGUUCUCAUUCCUCUGAACAUAAUCAGUUAAAAAAAAUAUAUAACUGAGAUCUAAAUAUGAAAUGACGAAGCAAUAUCAAAAGUUGAAAUUUUCUUAACAAUGAAUAUAUAGAAUAUCCUGGAUCAGACAGAAUGGAGGAUCAAGGUUAAAAUAAAAUGUAUAAAUUGCUUUUGGGCCCACCUGCUACACUUUGCCGGCUCCUGCAGCAGCAACCGUCUAUGUCACUAUAGUUGUCCCCAUCGCCCUUGCAGUGCGCCCCUCAGAACCAGCACCUCACCUUGCCCAACAUCAUGCUCUUCAGCAGCAGCUCACACCAGGACCUGUCCCAGCAUGGCUGACCUCUUUGGCCUGUAGCUAGGCAUGGUGGUCACCAAGAAGUUCAGUAUCCGGGAGACCAUCAUUGAGUUUGGUGAAAUGUGAGAGGGGAAGAUGUCUAUGUCAUCCAGAGUGGCUGUGGAGCAAUCAAUGACAACCUGAUGGAACUGCUCAUCAUGAUCAAUGCCUGCAAGACUGCCUCAUCAUCCAGGUGACCGCAGUGAUCCGGUGUUUUCCAUAUGCCUGACAAGAUAAAAAGGACAAGAGUCAUGCUCCAAUUUCUGCAAAACUUGUGGCUAACAUGCUCUCGGUUGCUGGGGCUGAUCACAUCAUCACCAUGGAUCUGCAUGCCUCUCAGAUACAGGGAUUCCUAUAUAUUCCUGUGGAUAACUUAUACAUGGAGCCUGUGGUUCUGCAAUGGAUUCGGAGAACAUCACUGAGUAGAAGAACUGUACCAUGGUUUCACUGGAUGCAGGGGGAGCCAAGAGGGUCACACCAAUUGCAGACAGGUUGAAUGUGGAUUUGCUUUGAUUCUGUUGGGGGAUGUGAAGGACUGUGUGGCCAUCCUCAUGGGUGACAUGGCUGACACAUGUGGUACCAUCUGCCAUGCUGCUGAUAAACUACUCUCAGCUAGAGCCACCAAAGUGUAUGCUAUCCUCACUCACGGGAUCUUCUCUGGGCCAGCUAUAUCCAGAAUCAGUAAUGCUUCCUUUGAGGCUGUUGUCACAAACACAAUUCUGCAAGAGGACAAAAUGAAACACUGCUCCAAGAUUCAGAUGAUUGACAUUUCAAUGAUCCUGGCUGAGAUGAUCUGAAGGAUGAGAAUAUCUGAAGGACAAUGGAGAAUCUAUUUCUUAUUUGUUCAGCCAUGUGCCACUGUAAAUGCAAAGUGAGAAGUGUGGAGCAGACCUCCUCAGACUUCUCACUUGAUUUAUUUGCUUUUUUAGGACUAAGCAAUGGUAGGCUAAUCACUGGCAAAGGCAUCAGAUAUUUGUAUACUCUGAGAUACAUUAUUUCCUCUUCUGAAGCCCAAGACUAUUUCUUUCUGGUUUAUUGGGGGAAAGGUGGUGGUUAUUUGUUACUUAAGUGAACCAUCUUAAAUGAAUAAUGUUUUUAUCAUCUUAACUUGUUCUGAUAGGUGAUAUUUUCUUUUGUUUUUUUAGUAUUUUGAGUUGACAACUUUCAAGUAUGAAAUUCCAUUGUGGAAAUUCAUCUUUUAUACAUUUUGAGGUUGCCAAAGGUGACUUCACAUUAAAACCUUCUGUGUAAAUAUAUAAUGUUAAUGCCUAUGGACAUUUGGGUAAUACCCUGUAUAGUCUUUUACUUUGGAGUGAAUCUUAGAAAAUUUAUUAAUACCAAGAAUUUUUAAUUUUUUUUUCCUUCUUUAAAAAUUGUAUCUGGGUUUUAAAUAAGCCACCUUAACUGUGCCUAAUUUGUCCCAAAUUUUAUUUAGUUAAAGAUAGCCACUGACUCAUUAAUUUUUUUGGUAAAUAUUAGAUAUUUCAAAGGCAACAUAGUUCUGUAUGAUUUUUUAUUGCCACUUUUAAGUUAUAAUUAUCACUUAAAAUACCAUGUCCCAAAACUCCAAAAUUAUGUUCUACAAUCAUUCUAAUUUAUAAACCAUUUUGAGUUGUGGUUGCUGAGCUCAGGGUCAUAUUUAUACUCUCCUCUGUUCACCCCAGAUAGAUAAUUAUUUGGGAUGUACCUAGGGUUCUUGUCAUCAUGUUUCUUUGUGCCAUAUUUUUAUCCUUAGGUUUCACCUUGCAUUUUUUUCCAGUAAUUUCGCUUAAGGAUUUCUACCAAACGAUGACUCUCUUAAAUCCCCUCAAAUUUACUGAGCUGAUCAUUAUUUUGCUUUUGACUUACAUAAAUGUGAAUUUUUUAAUGAGUACCACCAAAUGUUUAUUUAAACACGAGCUUUGAUUAAAUGUUCUUUUGCCCUUGGAAGUACUAGGUAUCUGGCAAACAAAUAUCUUAACUAAAUCUGGUACACCCCUCCCCAAAAAAAAUGUGUGUGCAGGAGAGGCCUAUGGAAAGUCAACAUCAAUUGCUUCAUUAGGAUAAUGUUCAAAAAGUGGCUCAAAAGUGAUUUAAAGAUUGUGAAGGGAAAAUUCACUGAGGAAUGCCUUCUCCAUAAAUGGCCCUUGAUAAAAUCCCCUUAAGUGAAGUGCCUUGCUGUCUCUGUGGCAGAAGUCAAGCAUUGACUCUCUGAAUUUAUUAUAUGCAUGUUGGUGGACAACCAACUGAACUUGUCAGCCCCCAAAGAACAGGAUUCUUCUGCAUAGAUAAAGCCUAGAAAUGAGAAAAACGAUACCCUCUGCUGAAUCUUUCAUCCAUUGUUUUAUUGGAAUUGGGGAUUAAAAUCUCUGCUGAGUCUUAACACUGAUAGAGAAUAAAUGCUCUGAUCAAAAUUCUUCAGGUAGAAAAAUCAAAUCUAAGUCAUUAACGAACUUGAACAGCAGUCUUUAGAAUUUAAAAAUUUAAGACAGCAGAAGUUGAAGUUAGAAAAUAUCAUUAAAGUUGUUACCAAAACUAGCAUUUUGUUGUACUUUAAAUUUGUUUCUUUGAGAAAUAGUGAUGAAGCCUGGUAAAAAGUUGGCUCUGCGGUGCAGAUUGACUCUGUCUAGAAAGAGUCGACUGGAGAUGGGUGAAAAACCUAUAUGGGUGCUUUGGAAUUUUCCUUUUUGAUAAAUGUCUGACAUAUGUAUUUCAUUGGAUUGCUAUGCUUGUAUGAAAUGAAAACAAAUGUAAACGCUUAUGUAGACAGCUUGACAUGCAAGUAUGCAAGUUCAGGUGUGUUGACUAAAGUCAGUUGAUUUAAAGUAACCAUUUUAUCUAAGAUAAUUAAAGUCUAAGAAUUUGUAGAACUAGUUUUCUAAUAAUGAUUUCCAGAUUUUAAAAUAUUGCUACUAUCAUUAUUUAGCCCUACUUUUGCAUGUUAAAAUACUCCUGAAUACAGUUAUGGACUAAUUAGAUUGGACUUAGCCUUAUACCAUGGAGAUACAGGCUUUAACUAUUCAGUGGUUUCCAGUGGACAGAGAUGAUGAAGAAUGCCUUGUGAACAGCCUAAUCCCAGAACAUACUCCUUCCUUGCUGUUUUUUGUGUGGAAACUUGAGACCACCAAAUGUAUCAGUCCUGUCCAACUCUCCUGAAUGGGGGUAAACUUUGCAUAUAUCUAGCCAAAAAGGGGAUCCACCAAAAUAUGACUAUACCAAACUUGUUUAGCUUCCAAAUUAAAUUAUACUAGUAAACUGUUCAGAUGAUAACUGCCCUUUAGUAGAUAUGCUGCCAACUAGAUUCAUGAAUGUAUCAUUUGCAGUGCUUGCAUUGGUUAAAAUCUAGGAUUUUAAGAUCCUACAGUGUACUAAAGCAUUUCAAUAAAAUCCUGCUGACUAAAAUAAUAAUAAUAAUAAAAAUUCCAUUUUGAACACCAG
rnacentral:lncRNA from 1 species